GGGUCGGCUUAGGUAGGUUUUACAUGAAUGUCCCUCUCAAUUAGGACUCUUCUAGCUAGAGUCCUAACAGACCCGCCCUCUUCAAAUCAGCCUUGUCCUCAAGGCUGAGAUUCCAUGAACUCGGGGAACCGGGUCUUCAGCUCCUCAUAUGGUUCCCAUGUGGCGUCUUCAAGUGGUAAAUUAUUCUAAUGCACUAGUACUUCAGUAGAGGGACGUCGACGAUGCAUCACGAUCCUGCGAUCGAGGAUGGCUUGUGGUUGAGCAUGAAUAACUCCAUCCUCAGUGGUGUUGGGCAGUUGGAUCUGGGGUGACUCAUGUUCUCCCAAUUUCAGCUUCAGGCAUGACACGUGGAAGACAUGAUGAAUUUUGGCAUCCUCAGGUAAUUUAAGUCUAUACGCCAUUGCUCCAAUACGCUUUGUGAUCUGAUAUGGCCCAAAAAAUCGUGGAGAUAGCUUCAUGGAGGCUCGAGUGUUGAUGGAGAGUUGCUUGUAUGGUUGUAGGCGAAGAUAAACCCAAUCUCCUACUGAAAAUUCUCUUUCGCUUCGUCGUGUGUCGGCUUGCUGCUUCAUUCUGGCUUGAGUUGUAGAGAGAUUAUCUUUUAACAGUUGUAGGAGUUUGUCCCUAUCAAUCAAUUCUUGUUCAACCUGAUCUACCUUGGCCGAGCCAAUUACAUACUUUGGAAUCACAAGGGUCGGUCGACCAUACAAUGCUUCAUAAGGGGCACAUUUUGUAGAUGAAUGAUAUGUAGUAUUAUACCACCAUUUGGCCCAGGGAAGCCAUUUUGCCCACUCUUUUGGUCGGUCGCUAGCGAAACACCGAAGGUACGUCUUUAAACACCUGUUUACCACCUCUAUUUGGCCGUCAGUUUGUGGAUGAUACACUGUGCUCAUCUUGAGUUUGGUGCCUUGUAACUGGAAUAACUCGGUCCAAAAUUUACUAGUGAAGAUCCUAUCACGAUCACUUACAAUGGACCUUGGCAUCCCGUGCAGUUUAACAAUAUUUUCUAUGAAAACUUGGGCAAUACUAGCAGCAGUGUAGGGACUUCUCACAGUACAAAAAUGAGCAUAUUUCGUAAGUCGAUCAACCACCACGAGAAUUGUGCUUUUACCUUUGGCAGGUGGCAGCCCUUCAAUGAAGUCCAUGGAGAUGUCAGUCCACACCGAGUCCGGUAUAGGUAGUAGUUGUAGUUUCCCUGGAUUUGCCACAGUUUCACCCUUGUGCUGUUGACAUACAUCACAUUGUGCCAUNNNNNNNNNNNNNNNNNNNNCUCUCUCCAAUAAAAAUUUUGCUUUACUCUUUUGUAGGUUCUUAGGAAUCCAGAGUGCCCUGCUGAAGGUAUAGAGUGCAUUUCAUGCAGGAUGAUUGUGAUACAAGGGGAGUCAGGUAUAAGCACAAUACGACCUUUGUAGCGUAGAUCCCUCGAAUCCCAAGUGAAGUGGGCUAUUGCACUUGGAUCCUCCUCCAAUUUUUUUAUAAUGUUGCUGAUCUCUGGAUCCUUCUUCCAUUCUUCCCUAAUGUCCACGAGGAGACUAGUGGUAGGAAGGGAGAUGGCUGAAACCUUAGCUCGCUCAGGUAGCCAUGAGAGUGCAUCUGCAACAACGUUUUCUUUCCCCUUUUUGAAAUAAUUUCAUAAUCAAAUCCAAGAAGUUUGGUUACCCAUUUUUGUUGCUCAGGAGAUGAUAUCUUUUGCUCCAAAAAAUACUUGAGGCUUCUAUGGUCGGUUUUAAUUUGAAAUCGUCGGCCAAUCAGGUAGGGUCUCCACCUCAUUACUGCGUGUACAAUGGCGAGCAUCUCCUUAUCAUAUACUGCAUGUUUUGAUGGGAGGAAGAUAAUGUCUUGCUAGUGUAUGCGAGUGGUCGACCAUCUUUCAUGAGAACGACUCCAAUUCCGACUCCAGAUGCGUCGGUCUCAAUGAUGAAGGGUCGGCUGAAAUCUGGUAGCGCUAGCACCGGCGUCGUUGUCAUGGAUAACCUUAAGUUUGUCGAAGGCAACAGAGGCUUUGUCCGACCAUUGGAAAACAUCUUUUUUUAGUAGAGAAGUGCGUGGUGCACUGAUCUUCCCAUAGUCCUUAACAAAUUUUCGGUAGUAGCCUGAUAGUCCAAGGAACCCGCGUAGUAAUUUCACGUUUGUGCGUUUCGGCCAGCCUUGCAUUUUCUCAAUUUUUGUUGGGUCUACCGCCACUCCUUCCGAUAUUAUGUGCCCAAGGUACUCUACUUUUUGCUGGAGAAAGCUACACUUUGGUUGCUUAACAAAAAGAGUAUUCUCCCGAAGGAUCGUCAGAACAAUCCGUAAAUGCUGAAAGUGAGUCUCAAGAGAAGGGCUGUAAAUGAGAAUAUCAUCGAAAAAUACCAGCACAAAUUUGCGAAGAAAGCUUCGAAAAAUAUCGUUCAUGAGACUUUGAAAGGUUGAAGGAGCAUUAGUGAGUCCAAAAGGCAUUACCAAGAAUUCAUAAUGACCAUCAUGUGUGCGGAAUGUAGUUUUUGGAAUGUCAUCUUCACAUACCCGAAUUUGGUGGUAACCGGAUCGGAGGUCUAACUUCGUGAAGACUCGAGCUCCUUUUAAUUCAUCAAGAAGUUCAUCCACCACUGGUAUUGGGUACUUGUCCUUGACGAUGAUGCCAUUUAAAGCUCGGUAGUCUAUGCACAUCCGCCAAGUUCCGUCCUUCUUGCGUACAAGUAGCACUGGUGAGGAAUAGGGGCUACAAUUUGGCCGAAUCACUCCUGUUUCAAGCAUCUCCUUUACGAUCUUUUCAAUUUAAUCUUUUUGGAGGUGAGGAUAUCGGUACGGUCGAGUGUUCGCUGGUGGCUUGCCUGGAAGGAUUGGAAUUCGAUGGUCAUGUUGUCGAGAAGGAGGAAGACCGCAUGGUUCAGCAAAAAUAUCGGCAAAUUCAGUAAGCAAUUGGGCAAGAUUUUGAUCUUCAAUUUCUAUUUUCUUCCCCUCUGGUUGCUGCUGGAGGUGCAUCAAAAAGCCUUCAUUUACCUUGUGUAAAACUUUCUCCAUUCGUUGGGUCGAAACAGUGGUAACGUUGCUUCCGCGCUUCCCGCGUAGGAUGAUCUGUUUGCCCUUACAGUAGAAUUUCAUAAUUAAUUUAGAAAAGUUCCAAGAGACAUCACCUAGUGUAGUAAGCCAUUCUAUACCAAGCACUGCCUCAUAGUCAUCAAGUGGUAGGAGGAAGAAAUCGGUGAUAAUUUUUUGGUCUUGCAGUAAUAGUUUCACCUGCGGGCAUCUUUGGUCGCACUUUAGGAUUCUGCCGUCGGCCACCUUUACAUCGAACUUGCUGCAACCUUCAAUAUGCAGUGCCAUCCGAGCAGCAACCUUACUAUUUAAGAAGUUAUUAGUGCUGCCCGUGUCGAUGAGAACUGUAAUCGGCUGUUGUUUGAGAAGGCCUCCAACUUUCAUCGUUUGCGGGUUUGAGUAGCCGGCUAGUGCGUGUAGCGUAAUGUCGGUCGGUUGUGGCUCUUCUUCUAUAUCUUCUAUGUCAUAUUCAAGGCUCUCUUCUUGAUGUUCAAUGACCUCUUCUUCUACUGGUUCAAUUAUAAGAAGUCUUCCUUUUCUACAGCGAUGCUCGUGGCUCCACGGCUCGUCACAAUNNNNNNNNNNNNNNNNNNNNNNNNNNNNNNNNNNNNNNNNNNNNNNNNNNNNNNNNNNNNNNNNNNNNNNNNNNNNNNNNNNNNNNNNNNNNNNNNNNNNNNNNNNNNNNNNNNNNNNNNNNNNNNNNNNNNNNNNNNNNNNNNNNNNNNNNNNNNNNNNNNNNNNNNNNNNNNNNNNNNNNNNNNNNNNNNNNNNNNNNNNNNNNNNNNNNNNNNNNNNNNNNNNNNNNNNNNNNGGUUGUCGCGCCUUAACUUCUCUCCGGAUCUCCGGCUUUAAGCCCUCAAUAAAGGUCCCCAAUAGCUAUUUUUCAGACCAAUCACGAGUUUGAUUAGAUAACCUUUCAAACCUAGUUUGGUACUCCUGAAUGGUGGAGGUUUGUCGGGUCUUUGCUAGUUGUCCGUCAAUGUUCUCGUAAUAAGUUGGUCCGAAGCGGAUCAGCAGUCCUUCUCUGAAUUGUCGCCAUGAAAGGACUCUAUAAGUGUGUUCAAACCAGUCAAACCACUGUAUGACAUCCCCUUCAAGAUGUAUAGCUGCAAUUUUCACCAUGGAUGCAUCCGCAGUUUUAUGGUACCGAAAAUAUCGCUCCGCGCGCGAGAUCCAACCAAUUGGGUCUCCUUCCCAUCUAGGGAAGUCCACUCUCAUGCGCGUAUAGUUGGGGUCGGUCAUAGAGCCUCCCCUCUCUUGGAAGUCAUCUCUUUGGGCAUGAUGUGAUUGGUUAGAGCUCUCUCCUUGAUGUGAUUUCUUCGGGCUUGGUGGUCGGCCCAAACUGAAUUCGGUAAGGAGAGUCCGAAUCUUAUCCUCCAUUCGUGCCUCGAAGGCUUCAAUUUUAGCAUUGAUUGCCUCCUCAGAUGCCAUAGUAUAUGACUCCAAAUUUGUGAUGUUAAUAUCUCUCUUUUGUUGACGGGUUAAAGGCAUGUAUAGGUUGAGAGAAGUGAUGGUUAAAAGGGUUGGUGGAUUGGUAGAUGUAGGCUGCGGUUUAGGUUUGUUUUGUGGCUUUUUUGGGUGCAGUUUGAGGGUGUGGUUUGGUGGAGUUUUAGGGCUGUGGAUGAAAGUUUUCGAUCUAUGGUGGAUAACAGCAAAGGUUUGAUAGAAAUCAGUGAAAGUUUGUUGCAGAAUUGUGUUGUCUUGUAAGAGCAGAAUUGUCGUCGAAGAAACAGCGGUUUUUCGACGAAAUCUCCACAAAAAAUUUGAGAGAUUUGAGGAGAGAAUUGACAGUAAUAUCUUAGUUUAUAUGACAGAGAAAAUAUAGUAUCAAGAUCAAACAAACAGUGCUAUGCGGUUGAAAUUCUGCAAUGUAUCUUUCGUUGUAGAGAUGAAAACUUUGUGACGAAAAGUUUAUGCAGCAAUAUAGGAACUUUUUUUUUUUUGGAUUUUCGGAUAGGGAUAACUAAAUUGCAGUAGCAGUAAGGUAGGAAACCAGAACCUGUUGCAAUUCACGGGAUGAUCCGCGGUGGUGGAGAUGAUGGCGGAAUUUGGCGACGAUCUUUUAAGCAAUUAUGGGAAUUGCUUUGGGCGGCUGUGGAGGGCUGAUGGAUGGCUAUGGAAGGGCAGCGAGAUGCCAAGAACGCUGCUCUGAUACUAGGUGAUAGAACCCUUGCAGAUUCUAAAUUUGGGGUUGAUCUCUUUAGGGGAUCGACCUCCUUGGAACUCUAUAGGGGUUCCUCCCUCCAAGUUGCUGUUCAAAGGCUGCAGAAAAGAUUCAUGUAUUGCUUAAGAAAAGAGGAGGAAUACAUGACUAUUUAUAGGGCUUCUAAACCCUAACUCCUAAUAGGACUCCUACUGAAGUCUAUUACUUCUAACCAACUCCUAAUAGGACUCCUACUCAAGACUCCUAUUCCCUUACAACUCCUAAUUCUUCUUUAAGAAAAAACCUCCUAACCCUAGCCGGCCUCUUCAUCUCUUUAGUAGGGGUCGACUUAGGUAGGUUUUACAUGAAUGUCCCUCUCAAUUAGGACUCUUCUAGCUAGAGUCCUAACAAAAAAUGAGAUAAACAAAGAUACAAUUCAAAUAGAAAGAAAUUUUCCUUACAAGUUAAUCAGUAGAGUCAUCUACUUCUAGUGUGACAAUAUGUUGCCCACAUGUUUAAGCUCAAGACUGGAUGGCAUCAUGGCAUAUGUAGAUCCAAUGUCUAUUGCCUACAUGUCAUGUGCCACUGAACUUUUGGCAUGCGACCAGCAGAAGUUGCAUUUAAAAUGAGACAAUUUUUAAGGAUUUUUUAUUUAUGUGUUUCCUGACCUCUUCU
rnacentral:lncRNA from 1 species